CAGGACGAACGCUGGCAGCGCGCCUAACACAUGCAAGUCGAACGGAGAUAUUGAACUGAAGUUUCGGACGGAAGCUUGAUAUCUUAGUGGCGAACGGGUGAGUAACACGUGAGGAACCUGCCUUUCAGAGGGGGAUAACACUUAGAAAUAGGUGCUAAUACCGCAUAAGACCACGGCGUCGCAUGGCGCAGCGGUCAAAGGAGCAAUCCGCUGAAAGAUGGACUCGCGUCUGAUUAGAUAGUUGGUGAGGUAACGGCCCACCAAGUCGACGAUCAGUAGCCGGACUGAGAGGUUGAACGGCCACAUUGGGACUGAGACACGGCCCAGACUCCUACGGGAGGCAGCAGUGGGGAAUAUUGCACAAUGGAGGAAACUCUGAUGCAGCGACGCCGCGUGAGGGAAGAAGGUUUUCGGAUUGUAAACCUCUGUCUUCGGGGACGAUAAUGACGGUACCCGAGGAGGAAGCCACGGCUAACUACGUGCCAGCAGCCGC
rnacentral:rRNA from 1 species